rnacentral:lncRNA from 1 species
GAAUACGGACUACAAAGUUUACACUAAAGUACUGGUGCGACGAUUGCAGACCGUUAUAAAAGAACUUGUGGGCCCCCAUCAGACAUGCGGAAUCAAAGGCAGAUCGAUCUUUUCGAAUAUACAUACUGCAAGGACCAUACUGGAAUGCUGCGAUGAAAGAGAGGACAAAGUCGCUAUGAUACAAAUUGACCUUGAAAAGGCUUUUGACAGACCGGUGCAGUGAUAACAGAUGGAGUAAGAAUGGUGUACAAAGAUUGCACUGCAAAGUUAGUAAUUAAUAGGAAAUUAGGCGCCAGUAUAAAAGUGGAGUCAUCAGUAAAACAAGGAUGCUAUUUGUCACCUCUUUUAUUUGCCUUGUAUUUGGAGCCUUUCUGUUUGAAAAUAAUUAAAAGCCAAUCUAUUCGUGGGUUUAUCUACGCAGGAA